UGUAUCGACCCGAGCCGUGCCGGAGCUAACGCGUUAAGUAUCCCGCCUGGGGAGUACGCACGCAAGUGUGAAACUCAAAGGAAUUGACGGGGGCCCGCACAAGCGGUGGAGUAUGUGGUUUAAUUCGAUGCAACGCGAAGAACCUUACCAAGACUUGACAUCCUGCGAAUUCCGGUGAAAGCUGGGAGUGCCUUAGGGAGCGCAGAGACAGGUGGUGCAUGGCUGUCGUCAGCUCGUGUCGUGAGAUGUUGGGUUAAGUCCCGCAACGAGCGCAACCCUCGUUUUUAGUUGCCAGCAUUAAGUUGGGCACUCUAGAGAGACUGCCGGUGACAAACCGGAGG
rnacentral:rRNA from 1 species